rnacentral:misc_RNA from 1 species
GCAUUUCCUUCCUUUGUUCUUCAUUCAAUGGAUCCAUACUAAUCUCAUGACUGAAACAACGCCUAAUAGUUGGUGGAAGGCCUUCAGGACUAUCAGCAGCAGCAACUAACAGCACCGGGUGCCGAUUUAUGGGUUGAGCAACCUUUACUUGAUCAUGAGCAUUUGACUUUCCUUCUGAGUAAUUUUCUUCAUCUUCAGUAAUUGGCUCAGUAAAUUCCUUUAUGACAGAUGCAACUUCUAAAUUCAUACCAACUUGGUCAUGUGGUGAACCCUCGUUAGAGGCCAAGUUGCGGAAGGC